GUUUCUCCCCACUGUGUAUUCUUUCAUGUACUUUUAAAAGAUCCUUUUCUCUAAACCGUUUUUCACACAAUAUAUAACUGUAAGGUUUCUCCCCAGUGUGUUUUCUUUCAUGUCUUUUUAAGUGACCAUUUGUUCCAACCAUUUUUCACACACUGUACAACAGUAAGGUUUCUCCCCACUAUGUAUUCUUCCAUGUUCUUUUAAAUGAUACUUUUCACUAAAC